AGUGAACGCUGGCGGUAGGCCUAGCACAUGCAAGUCGAACGGCAGCACAGAGGAGCUUGCUCCUUGGGUGGCGAGUGGCGGACGGGUGAGGAAUACAUCGGAAUCUACUCUGUCGUGGGGGAUAACGUAGGGAAACUUACGCUAAUACCGCAUACGACCUACGGGUGAAAGCAGGGGACCUUCGGGCCUUGCGCGAUUGAAUGAGCCGAUGUCGGAUUAGCUAGUUGGCGGGGUAAAGGCCCACCAAGGCGACGAUCCGUAGCUGGUCUGAGGGGAUGCUCAGCCACACUGGAACUGAGACACGGUCCAGACUCCUACGGGAGGCAGCAGUGGGGAAUAUUGGACAAUGGGCGCAAGCCUGAUCCAGCCAUACCGCGUGGGUGAAGAAGGCCUUCGGGUUGUAAAGCCCUUUUGUUGGGAAAGAAAUCCAGCUGGCUAAUACCCGGUUGGGAUGACGGUACCCAAAGAAUAAGCACCAGCUAACUUCGUGCCAGCAGCCGCCGUAA
rnacentral:rRNA from 1 species